rnacentral:rRNA from 1 species
UACGUAGGGUGCAAGCGUUGUCCGGAAUUAUUGGGCGUAAAGAGCUCGUAGGCGGCCUGUCGCGUCGGCUGUGAAAACCCGGGGCUCAACUCCGGGCCUGCAGUGGGUACGGGCAGACUAGAGUGCGGUAGGGGAGACUGGAAUUCCUGGUGUAGCGGUGAAAUGCGCAGAUAUCAGGAGGAACACCGAUGGCGAAGGCAGGUCUCUGGGCAUUAACUGACGCUGAGGAGCGAAAGCAUGGGGAGCGAACAGG